AUUACUCACGUCUUGUGUUUCAUGUGAUUAAUAGUGAGAUGUUUUGUGCAUAUGGUGGCUAUGGCGUGACACGGGAACAACUUCAAUGCUUAGUAGGGGAGAACUUCAUUGAUAUUCCAGUAAGGUUUAUGAUAAAUAAGAAAAAAUACCUUCAUCUUUCCAUUGAUCAUUUUAACUAAUGAAGAGGCAUUAUGUAGGUGAUUUCCAUGUCCUGCUGAUACAUGAAUGCAAAAGAAGAGAAUCCUUCUCGCAGACACUUUUUUAAUCCAUACUUUGGGGAAAUAUGUGGUUCAAUGAGCAAGUCUACCUCAAAAUCAACACUCAAGAAAAGAUUAGGUAGCUAUUGUGUUAAUCUUGAAUGUUGCAACCAGUUUUAUAUCCCCUUAUUCCAAUUUAAUGAAUAGGUCAUCAUGGUAAUCAAUUUGGACGCUAAAAUGGUGGAUCUACUUUCAUC